GCCCUUAUAGCUCAGUGGUAGAGCGCAUCACUAGUAAAGCACAAGUAACUUGUGCAUGAUGAGGUCCUCUGUUCGAUCCAGGGUGAGGGCA